UGUACAUAUAUUUUUCCUUACAUCUGAUGUUUGAUUUCCUCCUGUGUGGCUACACAGCGAUAGCGGUCAGUUUUGGUAACAGUGGUCUGCAGGAUGAUGUCG